ACAUGCAAGUCGAACGAUGACGGUGGUGCUUGCACCGCCUGAUUAGUGGCGAACGGGUGAGUAACACGUGAGUAACCUGCCCUCCACUUCGGGAUAACCUCGGGAAAUCGUGGCUAAUACCGGAUAUGAGCACUCAUCGCAUGGUGGGUGUUGGAAAGAUUUAUCGGUGGAGGAUGGACUCGCGGCCUAUCAGUUUGUUGGUGAGGUGAUGGCUCACCAAGACGAUGACGGGUAGCCGGCCUGAGAGGGCGACCGGCCACACUGGGACUGAGACACGGCCCAGACUCCUACGGGAGGCAGCAGUGGGGAAUAUUGCACAAUGGGCGAAAGCCUGAUGCAGCGACGCCGCGUGAGGGAUGACGGCCUUCGGGUUGUAAACCUCUUUCAGUAGGGAAGAAGCGAAAGUGACGGUACCUGCAGAAGAAGCGCCGGCUAACUACGUGCCAGCAGCCGCGGUAAUACGUAGGGCGCAAGCGUUGUCCGGAAUUAUUGGGCGUAAAGAGCUUGUAGGUGGCUUGUCGCGUCUGCCGUGAAAACCCGAGGCUCAACCUCGGGCGUGCGGUGGGUACGGGCAGGCUAGAGUGUGGUAGGGGAGACUGGAACUCCUGGUGUAGCGGUGAAAUGCGCAGAUAUCAGGAAGAACACCGAUGGCGAAGGCAGGUCUCUGGGCCAUUACUGACACUGAGAAGCGAAAGCAUGGGUAGCGAACAGGAUUAGAUACCCUGGUAGUCCAUGCCGUAAACGUUGGGCACUAGGUG
rnacentral:rRNA from 1 species